AUGUUCCAGAGAGGCUUUAAAUGAAGUAAAUAAAGAAGCUUCUGUUAAAAUGUUUGAUUAAAUACAUAUAGUGAGUGCUUUUAAAAUGCUGAUGGGGCAAGAUGGCAGAUAAUAUAGCAGUUUUAGGAGAGUUUAUUGUUUGAGGUUCUGGUGUAGAGAUUUGAUUCCCAGCACAAGUCCCAGUAAGUAAUGAGCCAUGUAAUAAUAGGGCUCUGCUCUUAAUUAUGGUGAGUACUCUCAAUGAAAUCGAAUUUUCUUAGUACCAUCCGUGGAAAAAAAUUUAACUCUGACUUUACAUAACAGUCCCAGAUAGAGUGUGAACUCUGUGGAUAUGGGAUAGUGACAGAAAAAAAGAGGAAACAAAUCUCCAAUAUUUGCAGAAAAUGUAAGCUCAGAUUAUAACAUAAAUAUAUGAGUGUUUGUGGCGGCUCUGUUGAAGUUGUUACUAGCUAGACUCUAAACCCCAGCACAAACCCCUUCCAGAUUUCAUCAUCACGACUGGUUCUCGGUUAGAUUUUGAGUUCCUUGUUAGCAUGGAUGUAUUUUGUGGAUUCAGUUGUUUAAAAAAAAGUUCAGGGAGUUCCCAUCGUGGCUUAGCGGAAACAGAUCUGACUAGCAUCCAUGAAGAUGCAGGUUCAAUCCCUGGCCUCACUCAGUGGGUUAAGGAUCCAGCAUUGCCGUGAACUGUGGUGUAGGUCACAGAUGUGGCUCAGAUCUGACAUUGCUGUGGCUGUGGUGUAGGCUGGCAGCUACAACUCCAAUUCAACCUCUAGCCUGGAAACUUUCAUAUGCCGUGCAUAUGGCCCUAAAAAGAUGAACAAAACAAAACAAAACAAUUCAGUUUUAUUGAAUUGCUUCUGCAAAUGAUAGUGGGGGAAGGGGAGAGAUUGCUAAUGAAUACUUUUCCUUUGUUUUUUUUAAGACUUUUUGGGGUAAUGACCAACUGUAUUUUCAGCUAGUCAGCCUGUCAUGUGGGUGUGGAAUGCACCUGCAGGUGUGAGGAGAAUUAGGGGGGUGAGUCCAUUGGAACAGUCCCCAGCGAGAUGCCCUGCACCAGGUUUUCUGUGGGCACCUGUAGGAAUGGGCAGCUCUCUCUCCCUGAGGCCACUGGGCACUGCCAGUAAGUGCCACCAGCCACUUAGGAAGAAAUCAUGUGUGAUAUUUAUGAUGGACGUAUGAGCGCUAGGUAUAACUCCUGGUUUGCCUUUCACAGGUCGGGUGACCGUCUGCAGAUCCUAGCCAUUGGAAAGAUGAGCGUUAUAACUCACAGGGUCAUUCUGGCCAGCCCACGGUGCCUGGUUGGCAUGUAGAGAAUGUAUUAUUUCUGUUCUCUUCUGGGGGCCUCUGGAAAGCAGACCGAGGUUUAAAAAGAUGUUGUCAAAAUUCUUUCCUUUGAAAUCAAUCUGUGUUGACUCAUAAUUUGAGUACUCCUUUAGUACAGUUAUUAAAUAUAGUUACAUAAUUAGCUCACACACAUGCCUAUUUAACCUGUGAGGGCAGAAUUUUGAUUAUGUAGGUCCCAUGGCUUAAGAAAAUGGGGUUUUCUCUUCAACUUGUCUUUAAACUAGAUCUCAAAUUAGCGGACAUUGAUUUCAGAAUUCAGCCUUUAGGAUUCCUCAGAAGUUUUUCUUGCCUUUCAUUUGUCGCUCCCUUAACAUCUCCCCUGCUUUUUUUCAUUUGCUCUUUUCAUGUUGUCAGGGUUUUUUGUUUGUUUUUACGUUUUCUCUCCUGAAACUUUGCACUCAGAGAUAGGAGUAAAGGCCUAUUUUGAGGCAGUAGGAUGGAUAGUGUGCUUUCUUUCAUCUCAGUGUAUUAUUGUUUUGCUAACAUGCCUUUUUGCUCUGAAGAUAUAAAUUCACAACUGGAGAAAGAAUCCCAAACUUCAUAAUAACUCUGUAGUUUCCUGAGUGCUUAUUGUGUGCCAAGUACAGGGCAUUUUAGUACAUUAGCUGAUGUCUUCUCAUCCAUAGUGAAGAGACGAAGGCGCCUUGGAGAGUCAGGCCUGGCUGCUUGCUGUGACCGUGCUCCUGACCUGUUCUCUUGUUCCCCCUUGUUCAGUCCCAGGGACAGGGUGGUUUUUAUUAUCUUUAAAGACCUAAGAGAUCUUGGGGCCCUGACUUUGAUGGAUGGCAUUUGGCCUAUUUUAAUUACAAAAACUUAUCAAAUGUUAACAUAAAUUACCUGUGUCUAGUGGGUUCAUAGCCCCAAAUAGUGUCGUUUGGGGUCUUAAAGUGUGUUGAACUGAUUUUGAUGUGUUUAUAAGAGACAUUAUCACUGUUUGAAAAACCCGAUAGUGCUCUUUCCUCCCUGAUUUCUAAUUCUGGCAUCUAGAAUGCAGCUGAGACAAGAGCACGUCUGUGAGACAAACAGAGAUCUCAUGAGAGCUCAUGGAUUAACUUUUUUCCACCACAGCAGCAGGUUUUUCUUAAAGCGUUGUUUGAAAAUUAACAUUACUGAAAAUUUAAGCCUACCUAAAGGGAUUCUAGUUUUGAUCUCAAUUAUAAAAAGUAGGAAGACAUUUCAUAAAAAUCUGUGUCCCCUUAGCACUAGAAUGCUUUGGCUGUGAGUGGGAUAAGCUAGAAGUAAGCUGCCUUUGAUAGACGUGAGCGGUGUGUGAUAACUGUCUCUAUCUAUUCAACUACUUCCUGUUCAAUCUCACAUCGCAGCUGGAAAGCAAUUUCCUCACUUGACCCAUUUUUCUUCUGUAUUGUGUCUUUCUUCUGGUUCUUUAACAAAUAGUUUGAAGGAAUGGAGUGUCGUAAAGCCUUACACACUUGUAAGGUGAGGCAAUUCAGGCACCUGCUUUGGAAUAAGCAUACUCUCUUGUGUUUCAUUAUUUGGCUCCCUGGUUGGGCGGAUAACAGUUUUGCUCCUUUACUUUCAUGUCACUGUUUUCAGAAGAGAGAGAUUUUAAAGCUUGAAAAUGGUAGGCAUUUGAGUAAAGACAAAAACAGGUGUAUGGGGGUAAGGAUCUUGUUUUAGUAACAUGGACAAUUUAUGAAUGUUAUAAUUUUAGUAAGCAUAUAUGCAGUAAGUCUAGCAUUAAUAGAUCCACAUUGUAAAAUGCCUGUUUAUCCAAAGACGGAGGUCUCUUGGUAUCAUUGGCUUGUUACUGUUAAUGCCACCCUUAGUCACAGGUAUGACGUUAUCAUGUGAUAACUUUUGUCCCACACCCAUGGCUUAUAGAGUGCUUGGGUUGCCUUCUCUUUUUGCCAGAUCAAAUUCUAAAUGUCCUAACACACCGAACAUAACGCCAGUCUCCUUCUUGAAACCAUCUCUGACUUUACGUGUAUAAGCUCUCUCUUUUCUGUUUCUGCUCACACCUUUGGUGACCUCACUUAGCCCUGUGACUUUAAAUUUACCACACAUACCCUGAAGACUCCUAGGUUUUUGCUUGUUUUGUGAGGGGGUUUUUUGGCCAGCCUGGACUGCAUAGAUAUUUGCAUAUCUAGUUGCCUUCUCACCACCUGCACAGGACUGUUUAGUGAGCAUUUCCAGCCCACAGGGCCAGACCUGGCCCUGCUCUUGCCCCAGGACCACUCUGCCUGCACUCCUCUCUGUCUUCCUCGAGAGCGCUUACCCCCUUCUGGUCGCUCCAGUCUAAACCCUAGAGUCUUCCUUGGCUCCCUCUUUCUUUCCAUGUACAGUACAUAAGAAACUAAGAGAUUUCUAAGUGAUCCAUGGGUCAAAGAAGAGAAAUACUUGGAACUAAAUUUAAAAAACCAAAUACAACAUAUCAGAAAUCAUAUGAUGCUGCUAAGCUGUGCUAAGAGGGAAAUUUAUGGCAUUAAAUGUCUCUAUUGGAAAAGGAGAACGAUCUCAGAUCAGUAAUUUAAGCGUUUAUCUUAUUCCAAAAAGUGAAGAACAAACUAAACCCAAUAGCAAGUAAAAAGAAGGAGAUAAAGGUUAGAGUGGAAGUCGGUGACGUAGAAACAGAAAGCAGUAGAAAGGAUCAAUAGAACCAAAAUUAAUUGAUUAAUUGAAAAUUAAUUUCAGCCGGUUAAUUGAAGAUAUCAGCAAAAUUGACAAACCUGUAGCUAGAUUGACCAAGAAAAAGAGAGAAGAUACAAGGUACCAAAAUCAAGAAUGAAGAGGGGCGUUGAGUAUUGAUCUUAUAGAAAUUAAGUUGAUAGUCUGAAUAACUUUGUACCAACAAGUUAGAUAGCUUAUAUGAAAUGGACAAAAUUCUAGAAAUAGGCAAAUUGCCAAAACUGACUCAAGAAAAAUGAAAAGUCUGAAUAGACAUAUAAUGAGUAAAGAAAUUGAAUUGAUAAUUAACAAUUUUGCCACAAAGAAAAGCCCAAGUUAUUUUGGCUUCAGUGGUAAAUUCUGUCAGACAUAUAAAGAACU
rnacentral:lncRNA from 1 species